CCUACGGGGGGCAGCAGUGGGGAAUAUUGGGCAAUGGGCGCAAGCCUGACCCAGCAACGCCGCGUGAAGGAAGAAGGCUUUCGGGUUGUUAACUUCUUUUCUCAGGGACGAAGCAGGUGACGGUACCUGCGGAAUAAGCCACGGCUAACUACGUGCCAGCAGCCGCGGUAAUACGUAGGUGGCAAUCGUUCUCCGGAUGUACUGGGUGUAAAGGGAGUGUAGGCGGGACUGCAAGUCAGAUGUGAAAACCAUGGGCUCAACCUGUGGCCUGCAUUUGAAACUGGAGGUCUUGAGUACUGGAGAGGCAGACGGAAUUCCUAGUGUAGCGGUGAAAUGCGUAGAUAUUAGGAGGAACACCAGUGGCGAAGGCGGUCUGCUGGACAGCAACUGACGCUGAGGCGCGAAAGCGUGGGGAGCAAACAGGAUUAGAUACCCGAGUAGUC
rnacentral:rRNA from 1 species